rnacentral:lncRNA from 1 species
UGCCCUUUAAACUUUACUUUUGCAAUACACCGUCUAACAAUGGCUGCAGCUCCAAGUGAGUCCAUACCCUCUGUAAAUAAGGCCUGGGUCUAUUCAGAGUAUGGAAAAACUUCUGAUGUUCUCAAGUUUGAUCCAAGUGUGGCUGUUCCUGAAAUUAAAGAGGAUCAGGUGCUGAUCAAGGUUGUUGCUGCUUCUCUUAACCCAGUUGAUUUUAAGAGGGCUCUUGGUUACUUCAAGGACACUGACUCUCCCCUACCUGUGAGUUCACCCCUCUUUCUUCUUUGAUUUUCCUCACUGCCUUUCUUUGUUAUUUGGGUUGUGAUUUAUGUAUUUGUUGAACCUUCCGAAAUUCAAUCCGAAGAUGGUAUCUUAAUUUCUCUUUCGGGCAGUGUGAAAUAUUGUUUGGUGCUGUUUGAUCUUUCUAUAGAACAAAAACGCCAAAUUAACGAUCAUUUAUUAUUAAUUACCACCGAUGAAGUUAAAUUUUUACAUCCUCCAUUGUUUAAUAAACAAAGACAUCAGAAAGUGUGAAAGGAUGAUACAUGUGCAAUAUGCAUAUUUAUUUAGUUUAAUUUGGUUUCCAAUUUGCAGACAGUUCCAGGUAUGAUCACAUUUCAUCUUAUAUUUUCUUGUAAGAACUAGGAACCUUUCUAUUUUCUUAUUGUUUCAAAAGAAGGUACCUGUAUUAGUAUGUGUGUUCAUUUAUUUCAUUUUGGUUUGCAGACAAUUCCAGGGUAUGAUGUAGCUGGUGUGGUGGUAAAGGUAGGAAGCCAAGUAACCAAGUUUAAGGUGGGGGAUGAAGUGUAUGGGGAUCUCAAUGAGACAGCAUUGGUGAACCCAACAAGGUUUGGGUCUUUGGCAGAGUACACUGCUGCAGAUGAAAGAGUAUUGGCUCACAAACCCAAAAACCUGAGCUUUAUUGAAGCUGCUAGCCUUCCCUUGGCUAUUGAAACUGCCCAUGAAGGGCUUGAAAGAGCUGAACUUUCUGCUGGUAAAUCCGUCCUUGUUUUGGGAGGCGCUGGGGGUGUUGGAACACAUAUUAUUCAGGUACAUUCUGAUUUCAUUAUCUUCCUACUUGGUUAAAUUUCAACAUGUAAUACUAUUUUUGGCUUCAAACAUUUAAAUUAAGGAUGUGUACUUUAAUGUGAUGCAGCUUGCAAAGCAUGUUUAUGGGGCUUCCAAAGUAGCAGCUACUGCAAGCACUAAGAAACUGGAUUUGUUGAGAACCUUGGGUGCUGAUUUGGCUAUCGAUUACACCAAGGAGAACUUCGAGGACCUGCCAGAGAAAUUUGAUGUAGUGUAUGAUGCAGUUGGUAAGAAUCUUCUGCUCCCUCUUGUUGUCUGCAUAAGCUUUUUCUGUAGCUAGUACAGUUAUCUUUUCUGUGUUGAUCUUUCGUUUAUCACUGGAAACCUAAAUAGAACAACUGAUGAUGGAGAGGGUGUAGAAUUAUCAUGCAUGGAUAAUCUUAUAUGGAUAUAAUCAAACUGAUCGAACAUUUGAAUGUAUCUAUAGCAAAUUAGCAAUGAAUGAAUUAGAAGACUUUAGCGACUGAUGUUGUAUUUGUAAAACAAAAAUAGGGGAGACAGAUAAGGCUGUGAAGGCGGUGAAAGAAGGUGGGAAGGUUGUAACAAUAGUAGGUCCAGCAACGCCACCGGCUAUCCUUUUUGUGCUUACCUCUAAAGGGUCUGUGUUGGAGAAACUGAAGCCUUACUUGGAGAGUGGGAAGGUGAAGCCAGUUCUUGAUCCCACAAGUCCAUAUCCCUUUACUAAAGUUGUUGAAGCAUUUGGUUACCUUGAGAGUUCCAGAGCUACCGGAAAGGUGGUUGUGUAUCCCAUCCCAUGAGGUUGAGAGUGUAUGUGUGAAUGAUCUAUGAGACUAUGAUUGUGUAGAGUCCAUUUCCUUCCUCUUGUAUGUGUGUAGCAGUAUAUUUUAAUCUUGAAGCCUUGUAAUAAUGAAUAAGAUUGAGUCCUUAAUAAAUUGUCAUUACAUGAAAUGGUUACAGCUUACGUUUUGUUUCAUUUUUUCACAAUUGUCACUGCUUACGUUCACAGAACAACUUUGAAUUUUCUUUGGAUACUGAUCGAUCUAGAGGCUUACCUCCAAUAUUAAGUUAGCAGCUUACAGAUUUCUUAACUAUCAUUCACCCUAUAAAUUCUAUAAAGUGCACUCACAAAUUAGAAACCUGAUGUGUCACUGCAAGCUUUACUAUUUGCUCUACAUCAAUCAUCAAUGGCUGCAGCUCCAACUGAGUUCAUACCUUCUGUAUAUGGCGUUUGGGUCUAUUCGGAGGGUGGAAAAACUGCAGAUGUUCUGAGCUUUGAUCCAAGUGUGGUUGUUCCUGAAAUUAUAGAGGACCAGGUGUUGAUCAAGGUAGUGGCUGCUUCUCUUAACCCAGUUGAUUUCAAAAGGGCUCUUGGUUCCUUGAAGAACAUAGAGGGUGACUCUCCCUUACCUGUGAGCCAUCUUAAUCUUUCUCCUUCCAUUUUUCAUUGCCUUUAUUUGUUUGGGGGGUCAUAUUUUUAAUCAUUUAGGAAUUGAAGUAAAAGAUGGUAUAAUAUGUCUUUCUUUACAGGAUGAGAUAGAUAUUGUUGUUUUAUGUAGUUGUCUAUUUUCAUAAAAGACCAUAUUUAAUUGGACCUAUGCUUGUCAAACGUUAACUUUUCUCAAUUUGGUUUGUAGACAGUUCCAACUUUUGUGUUCUGUAACUUAUUGAAUCAAAAGAAGUUACCUUGUUUGUUUAUAUGAUCAUUUUCAAUUUGGCAAAGACAAUUCCAGGGUAUGAUGUGGCUGGUGUGGUAAUGAAGGUAGGAAGCCAAGUGCAGAAGUUUAUGCUUGUUUGAAGUGUAUGCUUGUUUGAGUGGUAGCAAUGAGAUUCCCCAAUAUCAUGCCAAGAUUAGCCAUGGGGAUCUCAAUGAAAAAGCAAUGGUGAAACCAAACAGGUUGGGGUCUUUGGCAGAGUACACUGUUGUUGGAGAAAGAGUAUUGGCUCUCAAACCCAGAAACCUGAGCAUUAUUGAAGCUGCUAGCCUUCCCUUAGCUAUUGAGACUGCGUAUGGAGCGCUUGAAAGAGCAGAGCUUUUUGCGGUGUUGGGACUUGGGACACAUGUAAUUCAGCCAUUCAGGUGCAUUCCGAUUUUGGUGCAUGUAACAGU